UAGGGAAUCUUCGGCAAUGGACGAAAGUCUGACCGAGCAACGCCGCGUGAGUGAAGAAGGUUUUCGGAUCGUAAAACUCUGUUGUUAGAGAAGAACAAGGACGUUAGUAACUGAACGUCCCCUGACGGUAUCUAACCAGAAAGCCACGGCUAACUACGUGCCAGCAGCCGCGGUAAUACGUAGGUGGCAAGCGUUGUCCGGAUUUAUUGGGCGUAAAGCGAGCGCAGGCGGUUUCUUAAGUCUGAUGUGAAAGGCCCCGGCUCAACCGGGGAGGGUCAUUGGAAACUGGGAGACUUGAGUGCAGAAGAGGAGAGUGGAAUUCCAUGUGUAGCGGUGAAAUGCGUAGAUAUAUGGAGGAACACCAGUGGCGAAGGCGGCUCUCUGGUCUGUAACUGACGCUGAGGCUCGAAAGCGUGGGGAGCAAACAGG
rnacentral:rRNA from 1 species